UACGAAGGGGACGAGCGUUGUUCGGAAUUACUGGGCGUAAAGGGCGCUUAGGCGGCUACUCUAGUCAGAUGUGAAAGUCCUGGGCUUAACCUGGGGACUGCAUUUGAUACUGGGUUGCUUGAAUUCGGGAGAGGAUAGCGGAAUUCCCAGUGUAGAGGUGAAAUUCGUAGAUAUUGGGAAGAACACCGGUGGCGAAGGCGGCUAUCUGGACCGACAUUGACGCUGAGGCGCGAAAGCGUGGGGAGCAAACAGG
rnacentral:rRNA from 1 species